GACCGGAUGGCUCAGUUGGUUUGAGCAUGAUGCUGAUAACGCCGAGAUCACAGUUUCGAUACCUGUAUGGGGGGCA